UAAAGCGAGAGUACAGUGGGUGUGCUUGUGUGAACGCCCCCCCGCACUGAACGGACAGCUGCUAACCUGCACCCCCACCCCAGUUGGGAGAGAGAGCGAGCUGUGGCAAAGCGGGUUUUGCUUAUAGAGAGGCCACCUAUGCAGGAAAUCACUGGCUGGUUCGCUGAGAACAAUGUAUUCUGUGCACUUCCCUGGUUUUCGUCGCUUAAUUGGAGUGAUGCCUUGAGGUCCCCUGGCACGGAGCGGAAGGCCGGUGGUGGCAGGCAGCCAAGGAGUCCUGCCAAGCUUCAUACUAGUUGGUUGUGUGGUCAUUUCGCAUCUCAAAAGAGGAGCAGAGUCAGCUAAGAUGGAAGACCUUCAUGGACCAUCCCAGUCCUGCAGGGAACUGCUCCGGUGAGAAGGAAGUGGACAUGCAUCCCAGCAUGGUGCUAAAAGGCCUUGCUGUGCCCCAAGGAGAGGAGAAGAAUCCAAGCUCCUGUUCACCUGUGAUCAAUACAGAUCUCAUUGCACUUUUUACAGGUUAAAGGAGUGUGGCCACAGCGAUCUUGUCAAUUUCCUGCCUGGGUACACUCUAUCUCCCAAAUCCCCACUGCAUGUUCAGCAGGAUAUAGUAUUCUUCUCUUCUUCCUGUAUUCAACUGUUGUAUAGUGCUGUUGCAUUGUGCUAAAUAGUUGUUACUUUCCACUCCAGAAGUGGCUGCAUUUCAUCAAUAGGGGAAGUGAGCCAUACAGCACGUGUUUACUGUUGUGUUUGUAUAUUGCAUACAAAAAUAUAUUAAAGAAUGGCAAGGUUGCAAAGUCCAGCAUUCCAAAGUUAGGAAAUGCCUGAAUUAAGGUCUCCUCUGCAACUUUAAUUCAGCCCCUUAACAUAUGCAUUAUCAUACAGUCUUUACUUAGAUGACAACAUACUAUUAUUUCUACAGGACCACAUCUCUGAUACUAAGGCGAGCAUCCCUGCUCCUCAACCUCUCAGCAAAAUGAAUGGAGGUAUUUUGUCAACAUAG